rnacentral:misc_RNA from 1 species
UACCCUGAUUGAACUCUCACCUAAAUUGUAUUUGGUGCAACAGGCAGACUUCAAAACUUUUUAUUGAUGUUGCAAGUUUCAUUGAAGAACUCUACACAUGUUCAUUGACCGGUAGGAAGUACCAAACACACUCAGGAUUAUUUUAAUUUGUAUUUAUUUUCUUAUCUAAACCACAAACAGAAUAUCAUUUCAUUGUUUAUCUAUGACAAACGCAAACCCCUGUUUAUCACAAUAUGCCUUGAAUUAUCACCUAAUAUUUACUAAUGCGCUUUCUGUUGAUAUUACCAAUAGUUAUGUUGAUUUCAACUACAAUAUUAUUUUUCUAAUGAUGGAAAUACAUAUUCCUGGACCAAAUUCGUGAUCAAUACCAGAAUGCAGGAACUCUUUGCUCUGGUGCUCAAUGAUAAAGAUUUAUCAAAGGCUGGAGAGCUUUUCUCUCUUGAGGACAAAGACAUUCAGCAUGAUUUAACUGAAGUACUUGAACGCAUUUGUCAGAUUGUUGACAGUUUUGAUUAUGUAACCAGCAGUAAUGACCAGAGUGUUGUAGAAAUAUGUGUAACAAGAGUCACAUCAGCAAUCAGAGAGACAGACAGUAUCAGCAGUCAUGUCAAUGCUAUGAUAUCUUUGUUGGAAGUAUGCCUCAAGUACAAUCUGCAACCAAGUGGCAAGGAUGAAGAUCCAGCACAUGCUAAAAUUGCAUCAGAUGUUCUCAGCUGUUUAUUUAUGAAUUAUACUAAAAAGGGAGUGAUGGAAAUAGCAUUACCAGUAGUUGUGCAAUUUCUGGAUUGUGAAAAUAAAGAAUUAGUACGAAAUGUUUCCAGUUAUUUAUCUUUGGCUGCCAUUGGCUGUUCUUCCUUGUUGGCUUCCUACAUGGAGCUUAUCAUCAGCAGUGUUCUCAAAGGUAACUCAGCUUUGACUCUCCUCCUUCAAAAGGUCUAUCCUGAUAACAAACAAGUUAUAUUGGACCAUGUUCCUGAAUUGGUACGGCUCAUGGAUACAUGUGAACUACAAGAGAGUAUAAGUUUGAUCCAGAUGUUUGCAAUGGUUGCAAAAGAAAACCCAAGGCUGUUGCAGCCAUAUGUUCCUGUGUUUUGUGAUUACCUAAAGCAGCCAGAAAUGGCUCCAACAGUUUUGAACAUUCUCGUGGACAUAGCUAGUGUGAAUCCUCGCUCGCUGUUGGCUUAUGUUACUGCCUUGCAGACAUUACUCACUGUUUACCCUGUCUACACAGAACCUGCAGUUGCUAUCAUUGGAAGCAUUGCUACUCUUAGUGAGAAUGAUGCUAAACGUAGUCUACAGUACUUCAUGGGACAGCUGCCAAAUGCUGACAAAACUACCCUUCCAUUGUACUUAAAUGGCUUGAAGAUGAUUGCAGCAUCCUCUCCUCAUCUUUUGGGCCAACACAUGCCAGAAAUCAAUAAACAUUGUCAAAACAAACCUUAUGUUGCUGACCUUUUGCAUCAGUUACGUGAAGACUUAAAGAAGCGAAGUGCAACAUGCCCAGAGACAGAAGAGAUGCGUAAAAAGUAUGUUUCGUUUGAGGGUGAGGAGCUGCGGAAAAAAUUUGUUACAUUUUCUGAAGGAGACAUUCAUCUUAGUGGAAGCACGCCUGAAAAAGAAGUCCGAUCUGUGUCCAGUCAAACUGAAGGGACUGUUACUGUGAUUACGGUCGGUAAUCCACCCAACUGCACAUAUCCAAGUGAUACACUACCAGUUAAACAUAAUUUAAUAGCUCCCUAUAACUUGAACCAGCUUAGUCUAAGAAAAGCAAGCAGAAGUUCAUUAAAUACUGACCCAAUAUUUGAUAGACCAACUAGCCCAAGUUUUGAAACCAUGGUAUCAGACAUUCCUCUUAGUAACAGUCUGACAUCAACUGCCACAAAUCCAUCCUGUCCAUCUCCUGUUUCUUCUAUGAAGGAACUGUAUCGUGAUGUUGUCCAACAGUUUUGUGAAAAGCAUCUUGGAAAGAUCCGUGUUUUUAUCAAUAAUGUGACUGCUCGUUUGCCAUCACCUGUAAAAUGUAGUGUUGUUAAUGGUCGCCAUAAACGUUAUGUUAAGCUAAACUUUGUAUGUUCCAGUCAUCGUGGAGAUGAGUGUCUUUAUAGUAAUAAUUGUUUUGUGUUAAUUACACACAUACCCAAAACCUGGAUUCAUCUCAUGUUUCUAGCUUUGCAGGCCAAAGCCAUUUCUGCUUUAGGCCAACAAGAUACAUCUGUAAGUUGUCUGAAACGAUGCUGGGAUGCUCUGAAGUCAGAAAAAGGCCCAAGUAGUUUUCUUACUGUUGUUACAUCAUCAUUUCCAUCAGCUAAGGAUCAAGAUGCUCUUCUUCAUGAACUUCACAGUGUCCGUUAUUUCGAUGUUUUUGAAUUCAAUGCUGCUGAGCACCAUUGGGCAUGUUUUAUGUGCAACCACCCUGAAAAGAUGGUCACUUUACUUCAGGAUGGUAGUCCAUUUAUUUCUGGACAACUAAAAGAGAAGAAGGGUCGGUUGAAAUUUCUGAAACGAUGGAAAACGCGGUAUUUCAGCUUAUCAGGAUCAAACAUUACCUACAGCAAAGGUGAUUCUCAUAAAGAAACAUUGCCAGUCAGUAAAAUACAAAGUGUGAAAGCUUUACGAAAAGGUAUUAGAGACAUUCCAAAAGCUUUUGAAAUAUUUACUGCUGACCAGAGGUAUGUGUUGAAAGCAAAGGAUGAACAGAAUGUGGAACAAUGGGUGCAGUGUUUGCAGAUUGCUGUUGCACGUUCACAGCAAAAAGAACCAGUUUUAGCUCCUCUCACAAGUAUUGAAAAUCAAUAGCCAUUCUCAGAUGAUUUCUCAUGUUUGUCCUUUUCAAAUUAAGCUGCUAUGUUAUACUGCUACACUAACAUGGAAAUAUCAUCUCAAAUUUUGCAUAUUUGCCUGAAUUUUUAGGACAGAUAAUUUUACGACAUGCUCUCCAUCACCUCACUCUGUUCUAGAGAAAUAGUCAAUCGGAGUAAUCUAUCUUGGCUUAAGGUGUCAGGUAUUGCUUGUAAUUAAGAUAUAAAACUAUUUAAAACAUUUAUCAUUCAGACACCACAUCUUUAUUAUAUAUAAUUUACAUUACCAUAUCACAUUAUUUUUCUAACUCUGUUCUUAGUCAAUAUAGUAAAUUGGUGCUAAAUAAUUAAAAAAAGGUUUUGUAGUUAUCAACGAUUUGAAGUAAAAUUUUGUGGUAAAGGAAAUUAGUCUUGUAAAAUUUAAUAAUUUCAAUUUUAGUUGAAGAAAUUGAAAUGAUAAAAACGAAAAAAGAAGUAAAAGUUGUGUUUGUAUUGAUUAAAAACCCAAAAUAAUUGUUGUUAGGCCUCAUAAACUUAUGAUCAAAGGUAUUCCAGUCAGGAAUAUCAUAUUUUCUUUUUCUGAACAAAGAGUGUACAUUGUCUAAUGCGUCCUUCAUUAUUUCUUUUUUAAUUGGUGAAAACAAUUGGAGGGAGAUUUGGUUACUGGUUCUAACAGGUCAAGUGACUACAUAGAGGUUCCUGUUAGUCUGUUGUUGAUGAAUACUUUUGUUAAUUAAUAAUACUUUGUUCUUAACUUUUACAUAGUUCUGUAAAAUUUUCAUCUUAUUUACAAAUAAAUAUAAUAACAUUUGAUAAAACAAGGACAUCAAGGAAACUGGUGGUGAACAAUGUUGGCAAAAAUUAUAUAGUGAAGUUUGUGUGUUUGGAUAAAUUUGUAUGUAAGAGGAGAAGAAGAAUAUGACAUUUAAAUCAAUAAUAUUAUUAGUUCUCUGGUGCUUCACUAUAAAUAGGUAUUAAAGUAUGCUCUAGUGUUUGGAAUAUAUUUUGAUUAGUAACA